CCGUUGCUCCAUUCCUCUUCUUUCAUGGUCAAAACAUCCUGACUGAGACCCUGCAAAGCCACAUUGAAAACAUAAUUCCUGAUUACUCGUUAAUUAUUUUCCAAUACGACAAAAUGAAAUGAUGAAUGCAAUUGUGAGGAUCUUCAGAAGUAAACUACUGGCUUCAAAUUGUGCAAUUAUUAAUUAUUUGUUUCAAAUUGUACAGCCAUUAGUCAUUAGCCUUUAUUGUCCAUGUAUUGAGAAAUAUAAAUAAAAUUUGUAUUCAAUAACAUAGGUGAUUCAUCGGGACAAAGUGCAGGAUAUUCUCGGAACAAACGACUGAAUAAUUCUGAUUAGAUUACUACGACAUAAUAGGUGCUCAAUUUAGCGCAGUUCGAUCCUGAUCCAAGGAUAAUAGAUGUAAUUGGUCAGAACAUUUUUAAACUUGGCCCGAAUUAAAUCAGCCUUUGGAAAAUAGGUCAGAUUCUCUAAAGUAAUCCUAAAAACGUCAUCUCAAUCAGAGAAUUAUGCAACCAUCGAGCAUGCAAUUUUGUCAGCUUGGACGUCAUUAAUUAAUAUUUAAAUGUUAGGACGAAUGUAGGCUAAUACUUCUACAGAUCAGAAACACUUGACUCUCUAGUCAAAUUAGAAAGGUCUCUCAUCUCUCGCGCUCUCUCUUGUGGUUGAAAUGUACACACGCAUACGGAGCAGAGAGACGCAAAUCAAUGGACUGGGGAUCAACGUUCGAGGUUGUCAAUGGCUCUGCCAGUUGUCUCUUGCCGGAGGUGUCAAGGACCCCACGAGUGAUUCUAAAAUUGUGCUCGACGGUGCUCAAAGAGAAGGGCGCGUGUCGAGAGCCGGUCAAGUUGAAGGCUGAGUCUCCUCGCCCUUCUUACGAGCUCGUCGAGACCAACGAUUCUUCGGCCCUUCUGUCGAGGCCCUUCGGUAACACGGAACUGAGAGUCAAGGUCAACGAGGGAGCUCAUUUCUUUUAUUCGUAUUCACUUUUGUCGAAGGAACAUUCUUUCGUUGGUACGAAUCUUCAGGUUGUUCAGAUUACAUUAUAGUUCGAACAACCUUAAGGUUUCUUACGAGGAGUUUUACUUAGAGGUUUGAUGAAACUGGAUAAGAUUCUUGAUUCUUCAUUAGGAAAUAGCAUGAUUGAGCAACGAGAAAGUUAGAAGCAAGGUUGCAACUCAAGGUUCGAUCAGGUUCUCUUAGUUAAGAUUUCUUAAACGUUGCCUAUAACUUCUUUCACGGAGACUACACUCGAACCUACUUUGUAAAUUAUUUCCAUGUAUAAGGUAAAUCGUAAUAGGAAUCGAAAACAAUUGUUCCAGACUAAUAGUGGUUUCACAUGAAAUUCAAUAACCCCUGGCUGCGCGCUGAACUUCUAUUAUUAAGACCGGUUGCGAAAGUCUGGAUACUUUUUGAGCAGAUACCGUUACACGCGAUUGCGUUACACGGGCUGCAAGUGGAAAGAUAUUCUCAGCCUCCAUUCGAAAGUCGAUACAAUGAACUAUUAUUUCAGGUGACUAACCCCGUUCACGGUGUUUUAAAAUCAGAUGCACCGUCCCGUCUAUUCGUUUCCUCCACGACUCCGGGGACACCCGGUAUAUACGGUAAACAGAAAUAUCCGUUUAAAAGGCGAUUUAACCGGCAGAACCUGUUCGACCGAACAGCACUCGAACAAUCGUGACCACGGUGUAAGUAAUUCUAUUCAAGCUCCUUCUUCCGUGGCUUCAUCAGCUAUUUUAGUCUCGUCGCGGGUUUUCUCCGGGCUCUCGUUAUGGGUCGUUUCCCUGACGGACGUGAACAAAGCCAGAACCGAGGCAAUUAUUCCGUCCUAGAUAAUUAGCGACCAACAACCUGGGACCAAAUAUCGCGACACGUUUAAAAACUGAUAAGCAAAAAGAGUUUGCCCCAUAGAAAGUUGCCGUCUGAGAAUGGAGAAUCGUACGAUUUAUGUUCUCCCUCAAAAGUACAGUGAAAUAUUUAAAGCGACUGAACGGGUCGCUGGUAGCGGACUGACACGAGCCGCGAUUGGAUUCGCGGUAUCUGUUGCGCGCCUCAGCAAUGCGGAACUCCGGUACCAAGGUCGCGACAUCACUCUUCCUUUUCUCCCUCAAUCGACCGUUUCUCUCUCUCUCUCUCUCUCUCUCUCUCUCUCUCUCUCUCUCUCUCUCUCUCUCAUUGGCCUUUCUCCUCUCCUUUUCCCGUAUCGUCCGCUUUUCCGUUAUGCUCCGCUCGCUGCCAUUUAUCUCGUCCCCAGUUUCACCUCCGCCGGAAGCUGCACCGAAUAUUUUACUUUGAACCCUCCACGAGAUAAGGGUUUCCUCUCGUCUACAUACCUUAUCUAUUGUUUUCCCAGACGAGACGGGAUGAUAUCGUUCAAAGAAAGUAGGAUACUUCCUUAGUAAUGAAUAGACUGUGGAUUUUAUGCAUUUAUAAGAAAGCUGAAUGUGCAAACAGUGUGAACGUUGCAUGCAACUGAAUCAAGAUACUUAAAUGAUAAUAGAAUUACUUCAUUUAAUAAUAAAUUCUUUGGUUACAAUUGACAAAAGUUACAAAGGUACAAAAUGUAAAAUAGGAGAAAUAAGAAGACGAAGGAAAUGGAGAAAGAAUGGAGUGCAGAAGUUAUGGAGGGAUGAGAGCAAAAUGUAAACCAACUCCAUUUCUGGGCCAAUAGACUGAAAUAAAACUAUAUGUGUAUAUAAUAAUAAAUUGCAACACAUUGUUCACAUUA